rnacentral:rRNA from 1 species
GACGUAGGGCGCGAGCGUUGUCCGGAUUUAUUGGGCGUAAAGAGCUCGUAGGCGGCUUGUCGCGUCGACUGUGAAAACCCGAGGCUCAACUUCGGGCUUGCAGUCGAUACGGGCAGGCUAGAGUUCGGUAGGGGAGACUGGAAUUCCUGGUGUAGCGGUGAAAUGCGCAGAUAUCAGGAGGAACACCGAUGGCGAAGGCAGGUCUCUGGGCCGAUACUGACGCUGAGGCGCGACAGCGUGGGGAGCAAACAGG